AGUGCGGGCCUUGAGCCCCGGCAUUGCCUGACAGCCUCCACCGAGGUGUGGAGUCACUGCCUCGGCGAAGUAGGUGACGGGUGUUUGCCUGUGGAGGGGCGUGUAAAGGAGGGGAAAAAAAAAAACCAAUACAGUGUAUAUAUAUAUAUAUAUAUAUAUAUAUAUAUAUAAGGUGAAUGGGAAAACCGCCGAGCCAGAUCUGGGACUGGGGAGAAGGAUACUACAGAAAUAACGAUUGCAAACAUGGCAGCUAGCAGCCAGGCGUCGGGAUCUGGCACAGGGGCUGGGAAGACAGGAGCUGCCGGGACCAGGAGACAAAAUGAGGCCAAUAAGAAGCUGAAGUACGUCAGCCUGGCUGUGCUGGUUGUGCAGAACGCCUCCCUCAUCCUGAGUAUCCGUUACGCACGCACCCUCCCCGGGGAGAGGUUCUUCGCCACCACGGCCGUGGUCAUGGCUGAGCUGUUGAAGGUCGCCACCUGCCUGUUGUUGAUCCUGCUCCAGAAGAGAGGGAAUCUGAAGGAGUUUUUGGUGUUGCUGUACGAAUCGAUCUUCAUUCAGUACUCGGACACGCUGAAACUGUCUGUGCCCUCUCUCAUCUACACCCUUCAAAACAACCUGCAGUACGUGGCGAUCUCCAACCUGCCCGCGGCCACCUUCCAGGUCACCUACCAGCUGAAGAUCUUGACCACGGCCGUAUUCUCCGUCCUGAUGCUCCGCAAGAGCCUGUCCAGGCUGCAGUGGAUCUCCCUCCUGCUCCUCUUCACCGGAGUGGCGAUCGUCCAAGUGGAGCAAGAAGGGGGGCGGAAGGAGGCCUCGGUGGAAAACGGCAGCCAGAACUACGCCAAGGGACUGGCGGCCGUUGUCGUUUCCUGCCUGUCUUCCGGCUUCGCGGGCGUCUAUUUCGAGAAGAUCCUCAAAGGCAGUUCGGCUUCAGUCUGGAUGCGUAACAUCCAGUUGGGGAUCUUCGGGGGCGCCCUGGGGCUUUUGGGGAUGUGGUGGAACGACGGGGCAGCCGUUGGGGAGAAGGGCUUCUUUUUCGGGUACACGCCGUUGGUUUGGGGGGUGAUCUUCAACCAGGCCUUCGGGGGCUUGCUGGUGGCGGUGGUGGUGAAGUACGCGGACAAUAUCCUGAAGGGUUUCGCCACCUCGUUCUCGAUUGUCGUCUCCACGGUCACCUCGGUGUACCUCUUUGGCUUUCACGUGGAUCUGCUCUUCGCCCUCGGGGCGGGGUUGGUGAUCGGAGCAGUUUACAUGUACAGCCUCCCGAAGGGUGCGUCCGGUCUGCCUCCCGGGUUGCUGCCUUCCUCCCCCUCCUCUUCCCCGUCGUCUUCCGCCGGGGCAGUUUCCUCCAGGGUCAGGAACCAGAUGCCGGUGGGGGUGGAUUCCGAGACAGACCCUUUCCUGGCCAAAAAACCAACCAAGGAAAAGGGAUGCUAGCGAUUGGCUGGGGACCAGAAAAGUGGGCGGGGCUCGCCUGAAGAUUCGUCUCUGUGACCAAACGGUGCCUUCGCGCUACAGUGCUGCUGUGGCUGCCAGCUUAAACUGGGAUAAUUUAAAGACCAGCUUUAGUUUUCUCUGCUCCACCAGUAGAGGGUAGAGGGAAGUUUUUUUUUUUCUUUUUUCCAAAAGCAGGCAGGUAGCCCGUCGUUGAACAGCUCUGUUGGAAAAGGAAUGGACUUCAGAGCAGCUUUGAUCGCCACCUUGAUUUCUGGGUUUUGCAACUGGUUCCUGGCCUCACAAGUUGCUUCACUGAAGGUAGUUGGUUUUUUUUCUCUGGAGUUUGAAUACUAGGGUGAUUUGUGGAAGCUAACUUACCCAAGGGGGGUGUCUCCUCUCCUCAACUGUCAUUGAGUCUCCAAAAUACUGGAACAAGUUUGGAGUGUCUUUGCAGCUUCCGGAAUCUGACAUGGAAGAGAAAUGUUCUAUGGAUCAUCUUCCAGCUUUCCAGCUUCGUCCUGUGGAGAUAACGUAGUUUUGGUCUUGAUUGUCACGGUCACAGGAGAAGAAAAGGGGGAAAGUAUCUCUAGAAAAGACGGUGCUUCUUCAUCUUCUUAGUUUUUCCAGAUUGCCUUCAGGGAAAUGUAAUCCUGGAUCGAACUUCCUUAGUUCUGGAUCCAGUAUUUCGGGGGGAAAAAAAAGAUGGAUUAUACCAGAUCUAAUGUUCUCCGAGAUAGGAAAACUGCGCGACUAGAGAAGAAUUUUCACAAGACUGGAACAGUGGAGACCCCCUGGUAUCACACUGCAAUGGGGAGGUGAGGGGGUAUCAAAUCUACCCAUACUUCUGUUAUUAGAGUGUGUGUGUGUGUGUGUGUGUGUGUGGACGUGUGUUUUGUCAAAAGGGUCCCUUAGCAACCACUAAGCUUCUAGAUCCUCACCCUGUCGGUUCUAGAACACCAUGGAGUCUGGGAAUUGUGGGUAGAUAACAUGAUUUAUUUUUAAGUUAUCGUCUAUAUCACUGUGGGUAUCAACAAGUGCCACUUGAUUUCAACAUUAGCAAUGAUUUCCACUCGCCUCAGCGUCUGUGCAAGAUACAAACAUGAAAGGUUUACAUAUGAAAAGUAAGCAGCUGUACAGUAUUGAAAUAUUAUAAAUAUAUAGUAUUUGUAUAGAUAGAUAGAUUACAAUGUGAUGUAACAUACCAAAGUCCGUUGAAAAGAAUUUGAAUUCAUUAACGCAAUUCUGAUCAAUGCUAUACCUGAAUACCAAGGCAAAACAGGCCUGUUGUUUUUCUGUCCUGGUUGUAAUGUGUGGCAAUGCCAAGAAUAAAUCAAUACGAAACUAAGAUUGUAUUGAAAUGUUUCUAAUUGCAAUCAGAACAAACGUUGUCUGAAUAACUGAAGUAAAAAAAAAAAACAAAGAAAGAAAGAAAUAAUUUUUUAAUUUGUAAACCGCAGCGCUGUGAACGACAUUUUGGCUCAGCAGCUUCAUCCUUUACUAUACGAUACAGCGACCUUGUCCGAGCCACGAUGGCGCCCUUUUUCGACUGCUGCUGCUGCAAACCAAGCUGAAUUUUUAUCAUUUGCUUAUUUGUUUAUUUUUCUACGACUUGUACGCGUUUUUUUUUUUAAAGGACUGUAUAUUUUUUUUUUUGUGUGUGUGUGGAUUCCAGGAAUAGAGGGGAAUGAGAGAGUGGAUCAGUUAGCAAUAGCAGUAAAGAAGGCCUGUGUGGGUGGGAUAGAGACAGUAGUCAGUAUGAGGGAAGGAAAGUAUGGAUACAACAGACAGGAGAAAGUUAGUUUUAAUAAGGCUGUUGAGAGGACAUUCAACUUAAAAUGAACAUUUCUGCAGAAUCGGAGGGCAUGAGAAUGGCUUCAGUAUGCCCUGUGGGGUUAUGGAAACUGGAAGAUAAGAUGGUUGAAUGUGCUAGAUAUAGAUAGGGAAGUGAGAUUGGAGUUAGGGCAAGAGGUAAGGGCUUUAAAUGCGCAAAAUAGUUUCUUUAGGGACGGUGUAGGAGAUGGGAAUAGACUAGGGAGGGGUAUAGGGAGAUUGCAAUAAAAUGGUGCGCUCAUAAUAAUGGAAUUUAAAAAAAAAAAACUCCACACACACACUCAAUAGGGGGCGACAGGAAACUUUGUUUGAAAGCUUGUUGGCCAUUAACACACACACACAAAAAAAAACUCCCCAGGAGAAGACUUGCCCACUUCCCGUGCUGUGUCAGAGUUGAAGGGUCGGUGUUUGUGUUGAUGUGUUGCUGGAGAGUGUCCCCAGGAACUGAAGCUGAAGAGACCAAAAAAAAAAAAAAAAAAAAAAUU